rnacentral:rRNA from 1 species
CCUACGGGUGGCAGCAGUGGGGAAUAUUGCACAAUGUGGGGAACCCUGAUGCAGCGACGCCGCGUGAGUGAAGAAGUAUUUCGGUAUGUAAAGCUCUAUCAGCAGGGAAGAAAAUGACGGUACCUGACUAAGAAGCCCCGGCUAACUACGUGCCAGCAGCCGCGGUAAUACGUAGGGGGCAAGCGUUAUCCGGAUUUACUGGGUGGAAAGGGAGCGCAGACGGCUGUGCAAGUCUGGAGUGAAAGGCGGGGGCCCAACCCCCGGACUGCUCUGGAAACUGUAAAGCUGGAGUGCAGGAGAGGUAAGCGGAAUUCCUAGUGUAGCGGUGAAAUGCGUAGAUAUUAGGAGGAACACCAGUGGCGAAGGCGGCUUACUGGACUGCAACUGACGUUGAGGCUCGAAAGCGUGGGGAGCAAACAGGAUUAGAUACCCCUGUAGUC